UACGUAGGGUGCGAGCGUUAAUCGGAAUUACUGGGCGUAAAGCGUGCGCAGGCGGUAAUGUAAGACAGAUGUGAAAUCCCCGGGCUCAACCUGGGACCUGCAUUUGUGACUGCAUUGCUGGAGUGCGGCAGAGGGGGAUGGAAUUCCGCGUGUAGCAGUGAAAUGCGUAGAUAUGCGGAGGAACACCGAUGGCGAAGGCAAUCCCCUGGGCCUGCACUGACGCUCAUGCACGAAAUCGUCGGGAGCAAACAGG
rnacentral:rRNA from 1 species